rnacentral:rRNA from 1 species
AAUGGGUCAGCGACUUAUAUUCUGUAGCAAGGUUAACCGAAUAGGGGAGCCGAAGGGAAACCGAGUCUUAACUGGGCGUUAAGUUGCAGGGUAUAGACCCGAAACCCGGUGAUCUAGCCAUGGGCAGGUUGAAGGUUGGGUAACACUAACUGGAGGACCGAACCGACUAAUGUUGAAAAAUUAGCGGAUGACUUGUGGCUGGGGGUGAAAGGCCAAUCAAACCGGGAGAUAGCUGGUUCUCCCCGAAAGCUAUUUAGGUAGCGCCUCGUGAAUUCAUCUCCGGGGGUAGAGCACUGUUUCGGCAAGGGGGUCAUCCCGACUUACCAACCCGAUGCAAACUGCGAAUACCGGAGAAUGUUAUCACGGGAGACACACGGCGGGUGCUAACGUCCGUCGUGAAGAGGGAAACAACCCAGACCGCCAGCUAAGGUCCCAAAGUCAUGGUUAAGUGGGAAACGAUGUGGGAAGGCCCAGACAGCCAGGAUGUUGGCUUAGAAGCAGCCAUCAUUUAAAGAAAGCGUAAUAGCUCACUGGUCGAGUCGGCCUGCGCGGAAGAUGUAACGGGGCUAAACCAUGCACCGAAGCUGCGGCAGCGACACUAUGUGUUGUUGGGUAGGGGAGCGUUCUGUAAGCCUGUGAAGGUGUACUGUGAGGUAUGCUGGAGGUAUCAGAAGUGCGAAUGCUGACAUAAGUAACGAUAAAGCGGGUGAAAAGCCCGCUCGCCGGAAGACCAAGGGUUCCUGUCCAACGUUAAUCGGGGCAGGGUGAGUCGACCCCUAAGGCGAGGCCGAAAGGCGUAGUCGAUGGGAAACAGGUUAAUAUUCCUGUACUUGGUGUUACUGCGAAGGGGGGACGGAGAAGGCUAUGUUGGCCGGGCGACGGUUGUCCCGGUUUAAGCGUGUAGGCUGAUUUUCCAGGCAAAUCCGGAAAAUCAAGGCUGAGGCGU